rnacentral:lncRNA from 1 species
UGAAAAUGGGUGCAUUGUGGGCACCUUGUACGGUUCCAAUUCUAUCUCAUGUAGGAAUCCUUCUUUCAUGAGUAUUGGACUGAUUCAAAGCAUGAUUGAAUUAGGUGUCCUAUACUUAUUAUGUCAUAGAAAUCAUCUAUAAAUAAAAAGAGUCUCUACCUAUGGAUGGAAAGAAAUCAAAUAGCAAAAAUUAGAUUGAGAGAAG